rnacentral:rRNA from 1 species
CCUACGGGGGGCUGCAGUUAGGAAUUUUGCGCAAUGGGGGAAACCCUGACGCAGCAAUACCGCGUGUAGGAUGAAGGCCUUCGGGUUGUAAACUACUUUCGACGGGGAAAAAACAAAUGAUGGUACCCGGAGAAGAAGCACCGGCUAACUACGUGCCAGCAGCCGCGGUAAUACGUAGGGUGCAAGCGUUACUCGGAUUUAUUGGGCGUAAAGCGCAUGUAGGCGGUUUUAUAAGUCUGAUGUGAAAUCCCUGGACUCAAUUCAGGAACUGCAUU